UGGGGGAUAUUGCACAAUGGGCGAAAGCCUGAUGCAGCGACGCCGCGUGGGGGAUGAAUGCCUUCGGGUUGUAAACUUCUUUUGCUCUGAACAAGGCGCACCAUGGGGUGUGUUGAGUGUAGGGGUUGAUUAGCGCCGGCUAACUACGUGCCAGCAGCCGCGGUAAUACGUAGGGCGCGAGCGUUGUCCGGAAUUAUUGGGCGUAAAGGGCUUGUAGGUGGCUGGUUGCGUCUGUCGUGAAAGCUCAUGGCUUAACUGUGGGUUUGCGGUGGGUACGGGCUGGCUUGAGUGCAGUAGGGGAGGCUGGAAUUCCUGGUGUAGCGGUGGAAUGCGCAGAUAUCAGGAGGAAUACCGGUGGCGAAGGCGGGUCUCUGGGCUGUUACUGACACUGAGGAGCGAAAGCAUGGGGAGCGAACAGG
rnacentral:rRNA from 1 species